UGGUCGCUGACUUCUCCAAUGGGGAAAACA
rnacentral:piRNA from 1 species